AUUAUUCUUUUGAUGUUUAAUUACCGAUUUAUCAUUCUACAUAUGUAAAUCUACAUGAAUUAUUGGAUUAGGAUAUAAUUUAUUCUAAAUAAGACAACUCAAAAAAUUAAAUAAAAAUCAACCUUGUUUUUAUUUAAAACAAUGAACAUCGCAACGUUGUUAAGAUUUUAAGAGGAUUUUUGGAGGCACCAUUAAAAUUUAUAGCGCUGUUACUUUGUUUUCACUUUGUAAUUUUAUUAUUUUUUUUAAAUUACUGCUCGUUUUAUAAUUUUAAUGUAUUUUCAUAAUUCAUUCCAUCUGCCGAAUCAGAACAAAAAGAUAAUAAUUUUAAUAUUUUUUCUGUAAAUGC
rnacentral:misc_RNA from 1 species